GCAACUAAAAAAUAGUUCCUUGAAACCCCGUCGGCAGCAGAGGGCUUCCAUCCGCACCACCCGAGGACAACCAUCCUAAAUCCGUUCAUGACUCAUGAGCUGCGGCGGCCGCUGCUUCCCGCCGGCGAGGAACUAAUGGAGUAUGCUGGUCUUGAGUUUUUGCUGGAUGCCGUCGAUAGGUUCCCACUCCGGGAGGAGUUCUCCGACAGCAUAGAACACCCAGGUCCGUUCCCUCUCGCUGUGCUGCGGACGGGCGAAGCCAACCUUGCUGUGCCGGCGGAGUCAAAGGCAGGGUCUGGAUGUGGACAACAAAUUGGUGUCGCCGGACCAGAGUAGGCGCAGGGUCUUGCUAGUCUAGCGAUUAUUUUGAACAGUCACACUUUGCGGCUGAAACUAACAAAAAGUAGUGGUUUGUUUGAUAAGUUCAGGUUGCAUCUCUAGGAUGAGUUUAGAGCAGUCGAUUCGCAAAUACACGGAGGAGCCAACAAAAAGUGUUAUUAGACCAGAACUAGGAUUUAGCUUCGACUCACUUGGAGAGGCGUCCGAUUUCUAUAACUUUAUUCUUGAGAGAUUGGCUUUAGGUAUUGGAAGAGCAGGCUGAAUGUGGAGAGGACCAAAUCAAUACAAGCCGUGAAGGUGUCCGUCAGUGCCAAAGGAAAAAAAAAUCCCGUGGGAGGUUUGUGGAUGUGGUGACGAACUGUUGGCCCGGUCCGUCAUGCCCGCGGGAAGACAAAGAUGGUGGCUACGGGGCUGCUCCGACAACGAGCCCGACUGAAGGGCGAGGACCUGAAGGACGAGCUGACUCCAGGUGGUGAGCUGACGAUAAAUGUCUAGAGACGCAUACAUCACAUGUUAAAUGCAAAGAAGAAGAUGUACUGGGGGUGGCUUGCGAGAUUGGGAGGAAUUCUCGAUCUGUGUUCUGUGGAAUAGCUUUGCAAGGCAGACAACAAAGUGGACUGGGAUUACAUCAACAUGAUGAUGAACUCCAAUCUGAUGGGGUACAGAAUUGAUUGGCUGAAGAAGUUCAUGUUCCGGGUGCUUUUCAUGGAUUGCUGGUCCGUGUACAUUCUAGACACUGAGAAGAAGAUUGUGAUGGUGCUUGAUCCAACCGAAACUCAGAUGAGAUGGAGAGGAAGCACGAGGCAUGGGCGAGGAAAUUCCAGCAUAGAUUCUGCCACGUUUACAAUGACAUAUUCGGUGCAGGUUUGCUCGAGACAACUGGACAUUUGUGUACCCUUUAAGGGCUCAGCACGAACCAUGCCAAAGGGAGGACAACGGCUAUGGAGUUCACUGGUCUUUACCUCUGUUCGACGCUUACCACGGUGAGAAAAGUCGUAGAUUGAGCAACUAAGGCCCUGUUCGGAUACUAUCUGCUCCGCCCGAGCAGCUCCCGGAGCGGACGGAGCGCCAGCAAUAUUGCUGGGAGCGGCUCAAACCGCGCUCCUCACGCGGAGCGGAGUUAGCAGACGGGAGAGAUUCCGAACACGCCCUAAAGAAGAAAAUGCCAUACGGCAUUGUGAUCAUGAAGGGAAAAAAAAGUUGAUAUCCCAGAUUUCCUAUACAAGAAGAUCGUGGACUAAAUCGAACAAAUAGUACUUCGGAAUUCGUACGGCACGAUCACAACUUUUGGCCUCGCGUGUGUUUGUCAGUGCAAAUUCCCAGGGUUUACGUUGAUGUUUUUUUCCAGCACCACACUGCCCCUGGGUCCCCACUAUGGACCAGUAUUUGAAUUUGUGUGUUUGUCGGUGCAAAUUCCCAGGGUUUACGUUGAUGUUUUUUUCCAGCACCACACUGCCCCUGGGUCCCCACUAUG